rnacentral:rRNA from 1 species
CCUACGGGAGGCAGCAGUGGGGAAUAUUGCGCAAUGGGCGAAAGCCUGACGCAGCGACGCCGCGUGAGGGAUGAAUGUCUUCGGAUCGUAAACCUCUGUCAGCAGGGAAGAACGGUCACGGUGCUAAUCAGCAGUGAAUUGACGGUACCUGCAAAGGAAGCACCGGCUAACUCCGUGACGGCAGCCGCGGUAAUACGGAGGGUGCGAGCGUUAAUCGGAAUUACGGGGCGUAAAGCGCUCGUAGGCGGUAGGUCAAGUCAAGGGUGAAAUCCCCGCGCUCAACGUGGGAACUGCCUUUGAAACUGGCAAACUGGAGUGUGUGAGAGGCUAGCGGAAUUCCUGGUGUAGGAGUGAAAUCCGUAGAUAUCUGGAGGAACAUCAGUGGCGAAGGCGACUAUCUGGCACAUAACUGACGCUGAGGAGCGAAAGCGUGGGUAGCAAACAGGAUUAGAUACCCUUGUAGUC